GUCCCUGUAGCGCAAUGAAUAGUGCGUUGACCUUCUAAUCCAAUGUCGUGGGUUCGAAUCCCACCUGGGAUG